AGUGAACGCUGGCGGUAGGCCUAACACAUGCAAGUCGAACGGCAGCACAGUAAGAGCUUGCUCUUACGGGUGGCGAGUGGCGGACGGGUGAGGAAUACAUCGGAAUCUACUUUUUCGUGGGGGAUAACGUAGGGAAACUUACGCUAAUACCGCAUACGACCUACGGGUGAAAGCAGGGGAUCUUCGGACCUUGCGCGAUUGAAUGAGCCGAUGUCGGAUUAGCUAGUUGGCGGGGUAAAGGCCCACCAAGGCGACGAUCCGUAGCUGGUCUGAGAGGAUGAUCAGCCACACUGGAACUGAGACACGGUCCAGACUCCUACGGGAGGCAGCAGUGGGGAAUAUUGGACAAAGGGCGCAAGCCUGAUCCAGCCAUACCGCGUGGGUGAAGAAGGCCUUCGGGUUGUAAAGCCCUUUUGUUGGGAAAGAAAAGCAGCAGGUUAAUACCCCGCUGUUCUGACGGAACCCAAAGAAUAAGCACCGGCUAACUUCGUG
rnacentral:rRNA from 1 species